GUGAAACAACAACAACAACAAUAACAACAACAACAGCAGCAGCAACAACAAACCCAACAACAACAACAACAACAAAGUAUUAAACUGCAGUGUUUGGCGUUUAUGCAUAUUCUUCAAAAUUCUAAAUUUCAACGAAGAAGAAAGCGUGUAAAACUUAAAGAAAAUCACAAUCGAAAUCUCGGCGAAUCGAUAGGCGAAUCAGUUGUAAUACGUUUAUCGAUAACAGCAGCAGCAGCAACAACAGCAACAACAAGUAUCACACGCUACAACUCUGGCAGCGCUCUUCGGCUAUUGAUAAAAAUAAAGAACAAACAUUCUCACACACACCCACACACACACACACACCCAUCCAUACACACACAUGCAUUCUCUCUGAAAAGCAAACUUGACGAAAUAUUUGCAACCAACUGGACCAAUUACAUUUUUAUCGAUAAAUAAAAAAAAACAAGCAAA